rnacentral:rRNA from 1 species
UACGAAGGGGGCGAGCGUUGUUCGGAAUUACUGGGCGUAAAGGGCGCGUAGGCGGCGACUCAAGUUAGAUGUGAAAGUCCUGGGCUUAACCUGGGGACUGCAUUUGAUACUGGGUUGCUUGAAUUCGGGAGAGGAUAGCGGAAUUCCCAGUGUAGAGGUGAAAUUCGUAGAUAUUGGGAAGAACACCGGUGGCGAAGGCGGCUAUCUGGACCGACACUGACGCUGAGGCGCGAAAGCCAGGGGAGCGAACGGG